UUGUAGCCUCGUUUACAGGGCGGAUGCCCUUGC
rnacentral:tRNA from 1 species